rnacentral:rRNA from 1 species
GGGUGAUAAACUUCAUCUAAGGCUAAAUAUCGACUCGAUUGCGAUAGCGAACAAGUACCGUGAGGGAAAGUUGCAAAGGACUUUGAAGAGAGAGUUCAAGAGAACGUGAAAUCGCUGGAGUGGAACCGGAGACAGUUGAUGUCGCUUGGAGACAAGCUUGGUGGCUGGUCGCUUAGUUGUGAUCGUUGCCGGGUGUCGUCUCCUAUGCAACGCCGACGGCGUUGGCUGCUCGUUCUGGCCCGAUAAUGUUGCCCAGCUCGCAAGAGUCGGUGUCUUGUUGUCGGUAGUUGGUUCGUGGCGGCUAGCGUUUAGUUACACUAGUGUGUGUGACGUCGGUGUGAAAGUCAACGACGUUUCCGACCCGUCUUGAAACACGGAUUGCGGAGUGCUUGUCUACUGCGAGUCAAAGGGUGUUAAAACCUUGCGGCGAAAUGAAAGUGAAGGUCGAUCUUGAAUUGACCGACGUGGGGAUCUGUGCUCUUUCGGAGUGCUGCGCACCACGGCCCUAUACGUGUCACUUGUGACUGGGUAAGAGGUUGAGCAGUUGGCAAACGACCCGAAAGAUGGUGAACUAUGCCUGAG